AACGAACGCUGGCGGCAUGCCUAACACAUGCAAGUCGAACGAGACCUUCGGGUCUAGUGGCGCACGGGUGCGUAACGCGUGGGAACCUGCCCUUAGGUUCGGAAUAACUCCCCGAAAGGGGUGCUAAUACCGGAUAAUGUCUUCGGACCAAAGAUUUAUCGCCUUUGGAUGGGCCCGCGUUGGAUUAGCUAGUUGGUAGGGUAAAAGCCUACCAAGGCGACGAUCCAUAGCUGGUCUGAGAGGAUGAUCAGCCACACUGGGACUGAGACACGGCCCAGACUCUUACGAGAGGGAGCAAGGGGGAAUAAGGAACAAUGGGCGAAAGCAUGAGGCAGCAAUGCCGCGUGAGUGAUGAAGGAGGUAGGGUUGUAAAGCUCUUUUACCCGGGAUGAUAAUGACAGUACCGGGAGAAUAAGCUCCGGCUAACACCGU
rnacentral:rRNA from 1 species